ACAGACCCGCACAAAAGAGCCGCUGACAGGCAGGCAGGCACACAGGAGCAGGAGAGGCAAACUUAAUUCCGCUUGGAAGGUCCAGGCAGCUGGGCGGGAGUGCAGUGACUCAGCAGGCUGAAGCUGUGACCCGGGACUGGUGCAGCUCUUACCCAGUGCCUGCUACGGAGGCUUGUGCACGGCCUGGGCCUAAACACAGAGCCCACCUGAGAUCCGCAGGUGGCACAGCCUGACACAACACACACAUUUUUUUCUUGUAAGAAUUAGUCCUUGGUCCUGGAUGGCUAGCGGCUCCCGAAGGUUGGCUGGGAACCUCAGGCAGACACCCAGCCAAUGUCUGUCCUGUCAGACUGUGGUCCUGAGCUAAACACAGUCAGCCUCCAAUGCCCAGCUGUCAGCAACGCCAAGACAGCGUCGCCAACCUUGGGUGAUGACAGCAGCUGGCUUCCGUGCUCUUCAGCCAGCACUGGGACUCGCUCGCUCCUCUCCCAGAUGAUGGCCGCCGGACAAUCUACUCUUGAGUUGUUUAAUACUUCAAUAAAUGAAGAAGGCAGCUACAGGUAGAAGCUGAGCCUCGAGGCUGACAGUCACUACAGAGCCUGCUCAUUUCACCCUUAACCCCACAAGUUCCCUGUGACAUCAGUGUGAAUGGAAAAGUCGGCGGUUAACAGAAGUGCACUGCGAUGCAAACCCCGCUCUUCCGAUAAUAAAAACAAGUGCUUCCUACUGAAGUCAUGAUUCUCAGGGGUCACAUCUGCCCCUGCGUUUCUGCCAUGCUGGGACCCCAGACCCGGCCACUGCAGGAGUAAUGCUCCCCAGGGUUCUCUGUGCCAUCCACGCCUGCACCGAUUUCUCCUCUCAGAGGUCGGAGGGUGUGAUAGUGACCAUGACACAAUGGCUCAGGGAACAACAGACAAAUCUUGGAUCUGUCAUUUAUAAACUGUAUAGCUUAAGUUAGGUUAUUAAGCAACUCUGUCCCUGUCUCUUCUUAUCCUUAAGGAGAUACGGUAAGCCUGAAGAUUUACUAACCCAGCAUAUGCACGAGUAGCUCAGUGCCCGGCACUUUAGCAUCAUGUGUGUGACUGUGACAAUCACAACAGACACGUAACUGUGAAAAUAUGGACGAGGAGGCACGGGCCUGUGCAAGCAAAAGCUAAGUGUGCCUGGACAGCCACACACAGCCCUCUAGAAAAAUUCUUUUAUUUUGGCCAUUGAGGACUAUGACAUACUCAAUCCUCUGGCUGCCAUAGCAGCUUAUCUGGGGAGAUCGAGUCCCCAGUCAUUGUGAUCUGCACUCUUUGCUCACUAAAGUUUCCGGCCUCCCUGCUCUGAACCCUCCUGCACAGCUUUACCUGCUUUCAAUUGCCGUAGAGAAAGCCUGGGCGUCAACUCAUGUGUAAGCUCAGGCGGGUUUCAGGCUGCGAACCUACCACUUCUCUGCUGUCCUGCCCCAGCAUGGUGUUCAACUGCAGAGCUCAAACAAGUAUGCCGGCCAGGAGACAGAGAGGCCACGCUGGCCUGCCCCAAAGGCUUGUGGCCUUGGCGGGAGAGUCAAGAGCAAGACAUGGAGAAAAAGAAAAUGGAGGCCGAAGUGCAAAAAGACUCACACUGCAUUCCUCAAAAAAACAAAACCAAAACCAAAAAACAAAACAAAAACAAAACCUAGGACAAGGAACCACAACAUAAGCGGAAGAGAACAGCUGGGAUGUUUUGCUCCAAGCAGCGAGUAUCAGAUUCUUUUCUAAACAUCUUCUGGUAGUGGCUGUGCUUGCCAGGUGACCUGAAUGCAUGUUUAUUCUAUCUGGUAACCUAGCCUGGCACCACGGGCUCACUGCAUACCCACAGAGGCUUGGCAUGAAAGAACAGGGUGGCCCGGGGGAAAGGGAAGCACGAAAGACAGUGGGAACGAGGGGGAGGGGCAGUGACCAUGGCAGGUGGGGGUCAGCAAUAAGAUGCAAGGACCUUUGCCUGGGAUCAGAGCUGGGUCAGAAGAAUGCGGCCGGUGAGGUAGGCUGGCACAAGGCCCAGCUGCCCGUUAGUGGCAGAGCAGGAACCGAAACUGGGCUUCCUGGCUGCCCCGUGGAGCUCUUUCCACUCAGCCCGUCCCUUUAUACUCUCGGGGCAUGGGAAUCGGCUGACCAACACUAGGGCUCGGCCAGCCGAGGCAGAGCCCUGCAGGCUACUGGCCAGCUGUCACAUUGUUGUGUGUGUGUAUAUGUAUGUAUGUAUACAUACAUAUAUACAUAUAUAUAUAUGGUGCAUACAUGUGCAUUCAUGCUCACGUGUGUGUGUCUGUGUGUGUAUGGGUGCAGAGGUUGACAUCCGGUGUCUUACUUGAGCGCUCUCUCAAAGCGUGAACCCACGGCUAGCCAGUUUACUCCAGGGAGUCUCAUCUCUGACUUCCAUAGGCUGGAAGUGUAGGCGGGCCCCUGCAAGGCCCAGGCCAGGAUCCCAGUUCCCAUCCUUAUGCUCUGAGGGGCAAAGCAUACCACCACUCCUCUUUUGAUGGAGCCACAUGGUCCUUUCACAUGUCUAUCUGGGCCAUAGAGCAGGCCAGGCAAAAUUCAUCGACCAGCGGCUCCAAACCUGUGCACUGUGACCCCCAGGGGUCGCACAUUUACAUCACAAACUUACAGUUAUGAUGUAGCAUGAGAAUUAUUUUCCAGCUGGAGGCCACCACAACAGCAGGAACUGGGCCGCAGCGCUUCGAGGGUUGCGAGCUGCUGUACUGGAAGGGAAACCUCCAGCCUGGGAUCUCUGCCCGCCCCUCCUGCCCUUGGGGUGAGGGAAGACCCCCUCCCCCAGCUGCUGAAGGACAGCCAGCUGUGCACCAGGGCUCAUACUUCUGCUGGCACAGCUGGGGCCGUCAGCACAGAAGCUCUGGCCCGGGGCACUGCAUGGCUGAUGGACCAGCCUGGUUUGAGGCCUCAGUGGGGAGACACACAGGCCUUUGAGAGGUGAGGGCCCUGUGAUUCAAUGUCCACCUCGGAUGUAAACACACAGCAGGCCUGACUAUGACGUGUUAUUUUAACCACAGGCUUCUGGUAUACAUGAAUCAUUCAACCUCAUUCCUCUUCCUUGUCCCAGACACCUACACAGAAUGAGGCACACAAAAACACAUGGCUAUUUAUACACAUUUGCUUUCCUUUGCCACGGAGGUAUCCCCAAUCCCAAACCAAAAACAGGGCCCCCAGGGAAAGAAAGGGCUGAAGAGAGCUUUCUAGUAUGCUCCCCAUCCCCAAACCCCAGGUCCUCUUCCGAAGGCCCCGCGCUGUCUGUUUCCUCUAUUGCUAUCAGCACACAGGGGAGACAGCCCCCUUCACCUCUAGAACAGUAACUCUCCUUCUAACACUGCUCGAUGCCUCCAGGUCUCCACGUGCACUUUCCAACAAGUGUUUGGUCUUCACUAAACCUGGCCUCGGCACGGCUGGGAGUCGUAACACUCAUGCUUGCUUUUCCAGGGUCUAGCACCUUGCCCAGCACACAGAAGACAUACAUGAUUCAUACACACACAUUAUUUGCUUGGAAUUUUUUUUUUUUUUUUUUUUUUGACAGCUCUCAUAUAUCUCAGGAUGGCCUGGAACUCACCGCGUGGCCAAGAAUGAUUUUGAGCUUAGGACUCUCCAGUCGCCACCUCCUAAAUGCCAGGGCACACCACCACCCCAGGUUAAUGUGGUCCCGAGGACUGAACCCGGGGCCUAGGAAAGGCUGGGCAAACGCUCUUCCAGCUGACCUACAUCCUCAGUCCUCCUCUCUCCGCUGGAUUUCUACAGUGUCACUAUAAGAUACAAACUGGUUUUAUUUUAUGGACUAAGAAACGGAGGAGGCUCUUGGGAUCCCCAGGCUGGAUUCUCACUGGACUACCCUGUCGCCAGCUGUCUCUGGCAGUGCCUAUGGAGGGAAGAAAGAGAGCACUGACGAUAUGGCACACCCACACAGUGCCCCCCACAGGACAAAAUCAAGCAGAAGAGACUUUCUGACACACACGGUGGGCUUGCAGAGAGCAGACAGGCGGAAACAAAGCUCACGUUCUGUUCUUUUCUUUUCUUUUCUCAAGGGCCUUUCCGCCCUAAGGCUCAGCAGAAAAGCCUGGUAGUCACGAACUAGACCCGAGCGCAGUUUAUCUGGUUAUGAGGUCAGGAGACAACCUCUGGUCAGCUGCCAGCACCGGCUGGGACGUCGUGAGAGAGCUGGACAUGGGACAGCCAAAGCGGCCACCGCACCAGACGGAGCCUGGAUGUGGCUGGUUCCCCACGAGGGCCCACAGAAACAGCGCAGGGCGGGAACUGGGCUCGGAUGGCAGGACACGGUUCGUUGGAGUCUUUGACCUCCCAUGACCUUCCAGACGAUCUGAACUUCCCAGCCCAGGAAAAGAACUUUGGGGAUAGCUCCCCUUUAAGAUGACCCAACACCAGGCCUGACCCCAGGAGCCCAGGCUUCAGUUAGCCUAGGCUGUGCCGGGCACGGGCACACGAGCUCCCCAGCAGCCCCUCCACAGUUCUGGGCAGCCCCAAGCGAAACCUCAGAUACAUUAAAGGUGGCUCACCUGGCUGAUUAAAAGUUAGGCCAAGAUUUGCCGCUCUGACCUGACACCAGUGUGUGCUGGGUUUAAGAAGCAGAGACCUCAGGAACAGAAACCCCCAGAACUGGGUCCCCUUCCUCCACCUGGUAGACCUUCCAGCCUACAAACCUUUUCAACCCCAGGAAGUGGCUUCCUUAAAAGGCCCAUGGGAGCUGUGUGUUGACAGCAGGUGAGCACAGUGGUCUAUUAAUUCUGUCUCAGGAUGGUUAUCUGUUAAAAGUGACUAUUUCAUAUAGGAACAAUAAAAUGUCCUGGGUCAUUCUGAAACUUAAUCUCUGCACGAGGUUCUGCUGGGUUCUUGGAGCCACAAACUUAAGUUUAACUAUUCUACUUGACUCUGGGGUAAGGGGUGCCCAGGUCUGCAUGCCCUUACCACUAUGUGAGACAGCACAAAGGAACUGCCCGGUUCCGGUUCAGCAUCUGUUCUCAGAUCCUGACCCACAGGAAGGGUUUUCUCUGUAGUUUGUGAGAACUGGAAGUGUCUACAAUACUCCAAGAAGCUUAAUGAAUAAAGCUUAAUGCUCUA